CUUCUUUCUUCUGGGCCAGGUAAAGUGCUGCUGAUUAAAGCCUGCCUUGGAUUGAAUGAGCUUCCUUCUCAUGGCUUCUCUGUUGUCGCUGGCUUUUGUCUGAGUCACCUUCACAAACAAUCAGCUCUCUAGCUGGUUUGAAGAAACCACCUUGGCCAGGCACGGUGGCUCACACCUGUAAUCCCAGCACUUUGUGGGGCUGAGGUUGGUGGAUCACUUGAGGUCAGGAGUUCGAGACCAGCCUGGUCAACAUGGUGAAACCCUGUCUCUACUAAAUUACAAAAAUUCGCUGGGUGUGGUGGUGCUUGAACCUGGGAGGUGGAGGUUGAAGUGAGCUGAGAUUGUGCCACUGCACUCCAGCCUGGACGACAGAGCAAGACUCUGUCUCAAAAAAAAAAAAAAAAAAAAAAAAGAAACCACUUCAAAAUUACUUGAUAGAAUAGAAAAAUCCAGGCUCUGUAAACACAUGAAGCUUUGUGCAUCCUGUUGGCCAUUCCCUUAAAUAAUAGAUGAGAGAGUUAUGAAUCCGAUGACAAGAAUGGUCACAGUGCCUGCCUCCACCAAAGUUGGAUAAGUGAUAAAGGACCAGGGGUGAUGGAGGGUGAUUUUAAGUGUCACUCAGGGCUUCAGUCAAAAAUUUGGGGGGUUACUCUUCUAGGGAUUUUCAUACUGAACAUCACCAGAAAUUCCCUUUAAAAGAUAACCAGAAAUUUAUCCUUCUUCCUGUUUUACAAGCGUAGAGCAAGAAUUCUUUUAGGUGAGCACACACUAAGGGUGCAGAACAUAACCAAAGAAAAUUCUCCAUAACCCAUUUAUCUUGCUGGACUUAGAAAGGUUGAGUGACAGUUACAAAUGAAAGGCCUCCUAGGUAUUUUAUUUCCAGUGGUAGUUUAAGGAGGAAAUGUGUUUCUGGGAAUAUUUGCAUAACAAUAAUAAAGCUGUGCCCAACUUCGGAUGACAAAAACUUGAGUUGAUUAAAAUAUUUUUAAAAAUGUGAAUUGGAUUGGAAAGUGUUAUUUAAAUAUUUU
rnacentral:lncRNA from 1 species